rnacentral:sRNA from 1 species
CGGGCCCUGCGCGGGGAGGCUGGUCCCAACUUUGCGUGGGCUUCGCGUGGGCCCGGCCUCGCCGCUGCAGUCGCCCGCCUGGCAUGGCCAACUGGGUGUUCUGUAAUCGCUGCUUCCAGCCGCCCCACAGGACGUCGUGCUUCAGCCUCACCAACUGCGGGCACGUGUACUGCGACGCCUGCCUCGGCAAAGGUAAAAAGAAUGAAUGCUUGAUUUGUAAAGCUCCUUGUCGUACAGUUUUACUUUCAAAGCAUACCGACGCAGAUAUCCAGGCAUUCUUCAUGAGCAUAGACAGUCUGUGUAAGAAGUACUCGAGGGAAACCUCCCAGGUGAGCUGUGAGGGGUGUGGCUUGGUUCCGUGAUGAGCCAGGUGCACUAUCCCAAGACCAUGGAGCUGUGGGGGGUGCACUCGGUUCCAUGAUGAGCCAGGUGCGCUAUCCCGAGACCAUGGAGCUGUGGGGGGUGUGGUUGGUUCCGUGAUGAGCCAGGUGCACUAUCCCGAGACCAUGAAGCUGUAGGGGGUGUGCUUGGUUCCAUGAUGAGCCAGGUGCGCUAUGCUGAGACCAUGGAGCUGUGGGGGGUGUGCUUGGUUCCGUGAUGAGCCAGGUGCACUAUCCCGAGACCAUGGAGC